CUGAAGAGAAAAAGGAGAAAAAAUAAAAGCCAGGAUAUGAGAAAAUAAAUGACAAAUGGAUCAGCAAUACCAGAAGGAGCCACCAGAACCACAGCCAAAGAAAAUCUCGCAAAAUAAAGGACUCCACUACAGCUUUAAAUGGACGGAAAUACAUCACUAAAUUUGUUGACGCACAAACAACAGUACGACUCUGGAAAGAACGUUCCAGGCACACGUAGGGCAACAAACCAAUUUAAAGGGACACUGUAAGCACCAGAACCACUACAGCUUAAUGGAGAAGCAUUUGAUUGCUUCAUCUGUAAAGAUAAUUUUAGCAGGAGAGAAUUGGCAUCCGCGGUGAAAACAGAAACCGUCACAUUAUGGAACUUAAGCUAAGACAAUCUUAUUUCUUUUGAAAUUUAAAGUUUUUUUUAGGGUAGGGGGGAUGGGGAUAAAUCUAAAUAGUGAGAAAAAUGUUUGACUCCUAAAUGUUAGAGUGUUUCUUUAAGUACAUUUUAUAGGUUUUGGCCUCAUAUUAAUGUUAAUGUAUAUCUGGUGGGGAGUUUCUUGGAUGGCACAAUUGUAGGGUCACAUUAUAUUCUGGCAGAGUAGUUAAAGGUAUAGUCUAAUCCCAGUAUAAAUGUAAGAACCAGUAUUUAUUUAGAUGAAUGUGAAACACUACUACUGUAAUAAAAAAACAAAACGAAAAAAAACAAACUCUUGUUUGAUAUGAAAUCAGUACUUGGGAUACAUUAAGGAAUCUAUCAAUCAUUGCUACAUUGAUAUCAUUCAUUGCACAUUGAUUGGGUGAGUGACUGUUAAUAGAAUGCACAUUUUGCAUGCUUGACACUGUAGCAUUGACUUUCCCUGCACAACACAAAACCGUUUAUGACAUCAUUUAUAUCCACUGAUAUGACACCAAAAGUAGUCAUAGCAACAUCAGAAGGCUCAACUAGAGUUGUCUUGUUUACAGCUGGUGUCAAGGGCCAAGGAGGACAACCUAAAACCAGGCUAGAUGAAAUGUUUAAAAACACCAAUCUGAGGGUCCUACAGAUUCAUCAAAAUCUGGGCCAAAGAGAGACUGGAGGAUCAAGAAGAAGGGGAAGGAUAUUACGUGGAUCCAUUUUCAAGAUGGUCUGAUAUAUGAAGAGCUUAAGUGUGUUCAGGAUGCAGUAAAGAUUAAUAAGAGAAGGUAAGGAAAGUGCAUUGUGGGUAUUUCCCACCUUCUUAAUUAAGAAAAUAAUGCAGACUUUCCUUACUGCCUUGCUAUAUGGAGAAUAUAAUUAUAUAGAAUUAUGUAUGUGUGUAUAGUGAAUACUGUUUAUAUAGUAAAUAUGUAUAAAGUUAAUCUACAGUGUAUAUAUAUAUUUAUAAAAUAUAAAGUGUAUAAAUACCUAAAGUCAAUAGUGUUAAAAGUGUAUAUAUGUGUGUUUAAGAAAUAUUUAUAUAGUGUAGAGUAUAUAGUGCAUUUAUGUAUUUUGAUUGUAUAUAAAGUUUAAAGUCUGCCAAAUUCAGAGUAGGGUUUGAGGGGUGAAUAACUUUUUUUAUGAAUGAACCAAUUUCAAUGAUAUUACAAACAAUGAAUGCUCUGCGUAUGAAGAUUUGCCUGACUAUGUACGGAAGAUGACAUCUUUUAAAUCAGUUCCAUUUACCGCCUCGCAAAGUCGGACGCUUUCGAUUGCAUUGUUCAUAACAAAAGCUAAUGUUUGAGGCUCGAAUUUAUGCACAAAUAUUCUCCUUGAUCUGCUCAAGUGUACGUGGUUUGUUUAUAUACAUCAAAAACUUCAGAUAUCCACCCAGGAAGUACUUAGGAGCUCAAAAGAUGGACAAACGUGGCAGCUUACAUUGAAGUGCCGGUGGUAAGCUCUUUGCGUUAAAAUAAUGGACCUGCCAUUUUGAGAUUUCAAUUCCACUACUUUUACUCAUUCUAACUCCAUGAAAUUACCCACGAUGAAUUUACAAAGACUCAGUUAUAAUAUGUACCUGCAACUGAAAAAUUCAACUACUAACAAGUUAUUUACCUGUCAAAUCCUACUCUUAAUAUUGGCCCACCCUUUACAUUAUACAUAACGUAACUAUUAAAUGUAGUAUAUAUAUAUUGUAUAUUCAGUGUAUACCUCUAUACAUUGCAGAUUGUAUAUAGAAUAUACCGGAUAUAUGGUGUAUAUAUGUAUAUAGUGCAUGUAGAGUGUAUAAUGCAUUGCAUCAUAACAAGUAUAUAUAGCGUAUGUAACUAUUGAAUGUAGUAUAUAUAUAUUUUAUAUUUGGUGUAUACCUCUAUACAUUGCAGAUUGUAUAUAGAAUACACAAGAUAUAUGGUGUAUAUAUGUAUGUAGUGCAUGUAGAGUGUUAAGGACAUUUAAGCAUAACAAGUACAUAUAGGGUAUAUAACUAUUGAAUGGAGUAUAUAUAUAUAUAUAUAUAUAUAUAUAUAUAUAUAUAUAUUGUAUAUUGUAUAUUCGGUGUAUACCUGUGUACAUUGCAGAUUGUAUAUAGAAUACACAGGAUAUAUGGUGUAUAUAUGUACAGAUAUAUAUAGUGUAUGUAGAGUGUAUAAUGCAUUUAAGCAUAACAAGUAUAUAUAGCGUAUGUAACUAUUGAAUGUAGUAUGUAUAUAUAUAUAUAUAUUGUAUAUUCGGUGUAUACCUGUGUACAUUGCAGAUUGUAUAUAGAAUACACAGGAUAUAUGGUGUAUAUAUGUGUAAAGUGCAUGUAGAGUGUAAUAUGCAUUUCAGCAUAACAAGUACAUAUAGAGUAUAUAACUAUGGAAUGUAGUGUAUAUAUAUAUUGUAUAUUCGGUGUAUACCUGUGUACAUUGCAUAUUGUAUAUAGAAUACACAGGAUAUAUGUUGUAUAUAUGUAUGUUCUGCAUGUAGAGUGUAUAGGACAUUUAAGCAUAACAAGUAUAUAUAGAGUAUAUAACUAUUGAAUGUAGUAUAUAUAUAUUGUAUGUUAGGUGUAUACCUUUGUACAUUUCAUAUUGUAUAUAGAAUACACAGGAUAUAUGGUGUAUAUAUGUACAGAUGUAUAUAGUGUAUGUAGAGUGUAUAAUGCAUUUAAGCAUAACAAGUAUAUAUAGCGUAUGUAACUAUUGAAUGUAGUAUGUAUAUAUAUUGUAUAUUCGGUGUAUACCUGUGUACAUUGCAGAUUGUAUAUAGAAUACACAGGAUAUAUGGUGUAUAUAUGUAUAGAUGCAUAUUGUGUAUGUAGAGUGUAUAGUGCAUUUAAGCAUAACAAGUAUAAAUAGCGUAUGUAACUAUUGAAUGUAGUAUAUAUAUUGUAUAUUCGGUGUAUACCUGUGUACAUUGCAGAUUGUAUAUAGAAUACACAGGAUGUAUGGUGUGUAUAUGUAUGUAGUGCAUGUAGAGUGUAUAGUGCAUUUAAGAAUAACAAGUGUAUAUAUAGAGUAUUUAACUAUUGAAUGUAGUAUAUAUAUUGUAUAUUCGGUGUAUACCUGUGUACAUUGCAGAUUGUAUAUAGAAUACACAGGAUAUAUGUUGAAUAUAUGUAUGUAGUGCAUGUAGAGUGUAUAGGACAUUUAAGCAUAACAAGUAUAUAUAGAGUAUAUAACUAUUGAAUGUAGUAUAUAUAUUGUAUGUUAGGUGUAUACCUUUGUACAUUGCAGAUUGUAUAUAGAAUACACAGGAUAUAUGGUGUAUAUAUGUACAGAUAUAUAUAGUGUAUGUAGAGUGUUUAAUGCAUUAUAACAUAACAAGUAUAUAUAGCGUAUGUAACUAUUGAAUGUAGUAUGUAUAUAUAUUGUAUAUUCGGUGUAUACCUGUGUACAUAGCAGAUUGUAUAUAGAAUACACAGGAUAUAUGGUGUAUAUAUGUGUAAAGUGCAUAUAGAGUGUAUUGUGCAUUUAAGCAUAACAAGUAUAUAUAGCGUAUGUAACUAUUGAAUGUAGUAUAUAUAUAUUGUAUAUUCGGUGUAUACCUGUGUACAUUGCAGAUUGUAUAUAGAAUACACAGGAUAUAUGGUGUAUAUAGGUAUAGAUGUAUAUCGUGUAUGUAGAGUGUAUAGUGCAUUUAAACAUAACAAGUAUAUAUAGCGUAUAUAACUAUUGAAUGUAGUAUAUAUAUUGUAUAUUCGGCGUAUACCUGUGUACAUUGCAGAUUGUAUAUAGAAUACACAGGAUAUAUAGUGUAUAUAUGUGGAAAGUGCAUUUAAGCAUAACAGGUAUACAUAGAGUAUUUUAUCUACAUAUACAUAUAGAGUAUAGAGUACAUACAAUGCAUAGAGCUUGUGUAGAGUUUUGAUAUCGAGUAUAUGACUAGAGUAAAUCAUUAGCAUAUAAGAUUUAUAUAUUAAAUAUGUAUACAGUGUGUAUGUGUAAACAGUAUUUAUAAUAUAGUGUUGCAUAGUUACAUAAUACGUAUUAUGUGCACAGUUACGGUAAGCAUAUAAUGCAUAUAGAUAGAUAGACAUAUUUUCCAUGAUAGCAAAGAGCAAUUUGUUUUUUUUUAAUUCUUUUCAAUUAGGGAUACAUUUUGGUGAAUGGAAUGGAGAUUUCAUAUCCAAACAACUGGACAACUGAAGAGAAAAAGGAGAAAAAAUAAAAGCCAGGAUGUGAGGAAAUAAAUUACAAAUGGAUCAGCAAUACCAGAAGGAGCCACCAGAACCACAGCCAAAGAAAAUCUCGCAAAAUAAAGGACUCCACUACAGCUUUAAAUGGACGGAAAUACAUCACUAAAUUUGUGGACGCACAAACAACAGUACGACUCUGGAAAGAACGUUCCAGGCACACGUAGGGCAACAAACCAAUUUAAAGGGACACUGUAAGCACCAGAACCACUACAGCUUAAUGGAGAAGCAUUUGAUUGCUUCAUCUGUAAAGAUAAUUUUAGCCGGAGAGAAUUGGCAUCCGCGGUGAAAACAGAAACCGUCACAUUAUGGAACUAAAGCUAAGACAAUCUAAUUUCUUUUGAAAUUUAAAGUUUUUUUUUAGGGUAGGGGGGAUAGGGAUAAAUCUAAAUAGUGAGAAAAAUAUUUGUCUCCUUAAUGUUAGAGUGUUUAUCUAAGUACAUUUUAUAGGUUUUGACCUCAUAUUAAUGUUAAUGUAUAUCUGAUGGGGAGUUUCUUGGAUGGCAACAUUGUAGGGUCACAUUAUAUUCUGGCAGAGUAUUUAAAGGUAUAGUCUAUUCCCAGUAUAAAUGUAAGAACCAGUAUUUAUUUAGAUGAAUGUGAAACACUACUACUGUAGUAAAAAAUAAAAAAACAAAACGAAAAAAAAAAACUCUUGUUUGAUAUGAAAUCAGUACUUGGGAUACAUUUAGGAAUCUAUCAAUCAAUGCUACAUUGAUAUCAUUCACUGCAGAUUGAUUGGGUGAGUGACUGUUAAUAGAAUGCACAUUUUGCAUGCUUGACACAGGCCCAGAGGAGGCGGGCUGAAAGCUAGCCGGAUAGGAGGCAUGUGUGGGUGUGGUGAGUGUAGGUGUCAUAAGUGGGGGUGUCACUUAGGUUAGGG
rnacentral:lncRNA from 1 species